rnacentral:rRNA from 1 species
AGAAUCAACGCUGGCGGCGUGCCUAACACAUGCAAGUCGAACGAGAAAGUGGAGCAAUCCAUGAGUAAAGUGGCGCACGGGUGAGUAACACGUGACUAACCUACCCAUAAGUGGGGGAUAACCUCGGGAAACCGGGGCUAAUACCGCAUAACACCGAGAGGUCAAAGGAGCAAUUCGCUUUUGGAGGGGGUCGCGGCUGAUUAGUUAGUUGGUAGGGUAAUGGCCUACCAAGACGAUGAUCAGUAUCCGGCCUGAGAGGGCGCACGGACACACUGGAACUGAAACACGGUCCAGACUCCUACGGGAGGCAGCAGUGGGAAUUUUGCGCAAUGGGGGAAACCCUGACGCAGCAACGCCGCGUGGAGGAUGAAGUCCCUUGGGACGUAAACUCCUUUCGAUCGGGACGAUAAUGACGGUACCGAGAGAAGAAGCCCCGGCUAACUUCGUGCCAGCAGCCGC